rnacentral:lncRNA from 10 species
GAACUUCCCCAGCUCUGAUUCUUUCCUGAGUAACGAUAUUAAUUCAAGUAAUAGCAGUUAACAUUUAUUGAGCACCUACUACAUGCAAGGCAAGGUGCUAGCACAUUUAUGCAUCAUCUCAUCAAAAAUUUGACCAAUACUAGGACUCUAGUGAUAGGAGAAAAACAAGGUUCAGUGUUUACCUAACCAGUAUGUAACAGAGCUAAGACGGGAAUCCAGGGUCCUCAAAUGACAGAGUCCAAACACCAAGCCAAGUCUCCCUAGCACUUCUUUAGGAUGAAGAUAGCAAUAAUGGAAUGGAUUCAUACUUAUAGGUUGCUGUGAGAUGUUACAGGGACUAUAUGGCUGGCAUGAGCACAGUGGCUGGUGCAUGGUAUGUGGUUGACAUUUUUCUCCCAACCCUGCUCCCAUUGCUGCCAUUCUGAGUCUCAUACUUUCCUGGGAAAAGCUGCCCCAAUUCACAGUCCUUUGGAAGCUCUUAGGUAAUUACCCAGAGGAUUUAAUGGCCCUGUUAUUGACCUUUCACCCUCCAAAUUUAAUUUCUGGGCUUGGCCAUGCAUUAUUUCCCACCAGGAAGCCUGGAACUCCGUGACAUCAGAGUGUCUUGGGAGAGGGAUGCAGGGAUUACAUGCUGCUAGAAAUGAUCCUUAGCUCAAUUCCAGGUGGCUCUCUCAUAUAGGGGUCAGGAUAUGGAACUGGUGGGGAUGCUGUUUGUGUGGUGGGGGCUGUGAGGAGAGGAUGGCUCCUACUGGUGCCUGGCACAUGAGCCGAAUCAGAGAAGGGAGGCCUGGGAUGUGGCAUGGGUCACUGAGGGUCCCUCAGUGGACCCUCCACACACACGACACUGUGUGUUGUGUGCAGCCUCUGCUCAGCCUCCUUGGGAGAUAUGGGGUGGGGUCUGGGGAGUCAAUGAGGACUGUUGUCCCCCACCAGUGACCCAACUAGGCAGAGAGUAAGGCACUAGAGCAGUGGACCUUGGAAUCACCUGGAGAGUGUGGGCCAAUGCAGGUGCUGAGGUCCUACCCCAGAGUCAGAUUCUGUAGUUCUCAGAGUCUGCAUUUCAGAUAAACCAUCCAGGGGAUUCUGAUUCAGGUGGUUGGAUGACCUCACUGUGAGACAGACUGGCCUGGGGGUGCCCAUUGCUCUCUGACCGUCCCCUGCCCGGGCUCCCCAUGUGCAGAGCCUUGUUCUCUGGGCUAUUAGAGAACAAGUGAAGGCAGAGGCAGAGGCAGAGGUGAAGGGAAUGAAGCUCAAGUUUUAGGGCUUCUCGACUUGCAGGAUGGUGGGGAGAGGGUGGGCUAUGAAAGCUGGGAACUGUAGAGUGUCCUAGGUGAAGAGGGGAAGCCAGUUUACGAACAGGAAGCAUUUUUAUGUAAGGAUUUCUGGUAAAUGGAAUGAAGAAAUGUCAGGAGAAAGGGACCCUGAAUGUCCAAGGCUCAUGUAAAUUGUUAUCUUCUUGCUGGCCGUAAGUAAAUAUCACUGUUGUACCUAAUUUUGUAUUUGGAAUUUUGCGGGUUUUUUCUUAAGACGGCCCCACAGAACUGGGAUCUUCCCUGACCCCUGCCCUCAGGGAGCUCCCAGGAUCCACAGACACCCUUGGAACACAGAAAACCGCAAAGGCAGAGAGACACACGUUGCAGAUGGCAGAGCUGUGUGGAACUGCAGGGAGUCUUCAAAUUUAUCUUGGGUUAUAUUCCUGGAAAAGGCACUGCAGGACAAAGAGAAGAAGCUGAUCUUGCUCCUUUUCCACUGAUUGAGGUUUAGAACAUUUUAGGGGCUGCCAGAUGCUGUUUAGCGGGUGCUUCAGGAUGGAGACCCUGUGGUCUCCUGCUGCCUACUUCCUGCUCUCCUACUACCGCAUUUGGCGAAGGGAAUGCUUCAUGCUGAGGGACCCCUACUGCCCAGGCCGACCCCCUGACAAAUCCACCAACACGGGGGAGUUUUCAGCCAGGUCUGGCUCCAGGCAGUUUCCAAAGCAAGGGGAGCUUUCUUCCUAGCAUGACCUUCAGAGAAUAGCAGAACAACCUGACACUCACAAAAGACUUCUUGGAGGAAGGAGACAGCAUUUCAAAGAGAGAUGAGAAGAGAGGCAUCUAAGGCCCCCUGACUGGUGUUCCGAAGGUUGCACUUUCUGACUUUGCAUGGGAGAGGGUCUGUCAAUUGAGAAAGUGCAUAGGGCCAGGUGAUUAUGAUAACCCCCCAAUACAAUAUUUAAAAUCAUUUUUUCUUUUCACUCAAACUUUCUUUGUAAUAAACAAAAAUACUAUACAUACUUUUGGGGAUUCUACUGCAUUUUGCUCCAGAAUUUGUCCUCAGUUGAGAGUUGGUUCUUUUCUAUGUCUCUGCACUAGCUAAGACCAUUUUAUCAAGCCUGACUUACUCUAGUUUUUAUUAUAAAAAUUAAAUUAAAAUACUUUUUAUUUUAUUUUAAUACUAAUUUCAAAUAUAGAAUUAUAGCAUCAUGUUGAAUAUGCUUUUUCAAACUCUACUUAAAUCCCAAAUUGGAGAUUCAGCUCCCUCACCCCUCCCUACUGGAGAAUUGCUGAAUGGCUGCCUUAAUCUCUAGCACAGGAAAUCAAGAAAGCAUUGGCCAUCUUGGGCUGAGACUAUUAAAGCACCCUUUUGUCUCUUGUCCAAGUAGCUCUCCCUAUUCUGUGAAAUCAGAGUCUUCUUUGGUUAUUCUGGCACAUAGUAGGAAAUUCAACAAACAAAUGUUGCAUAAAUUUUACCCUUUUAAACUAUUGUGCUGUGCCUGGCACAGGGCAGGCACCUGGCACCUGACAAGGUGCCCAGUAUUAGCCAUUGUUCCUAAGGCCUUGACACCCUGCCUCAUCCACAUGCCCUAUAACCUGCUCUGUGUUAAGAAGCUCUAGCUGGUAGGAUGGUAAUUUUCCUAAGGUAUCCUAGGACUUCACAAGACCGAAGUCCUCAACAUCCUGAUUGGCACAACUUAUGAUUCACCUCUAAAUGUGACCACCUGUUUAGAUACUGGCUUCUUUGGUUUUGGUCCGAGGCCUGUGCACAUAGUAGGGCCUCAGCAAAUGUUUAUUGAGGGAAUGAGGGAAUGAGCUGGUGUCCUCCACUUGGCAGCCCCUCCAGUCACGUGACACAGAGCCUGAGGGAGGCUGGGGCCGGACCACAAAACUCCUUAGUGAACAACUAAGCCUCUUUGAUUGCGCUGUUUGUGUACAGGGCUCUGAUUUACCAGUACACUAUUAUGGCUUGAGAAUCAUUCUGGGCAGCCUAUCUUUCCAGCAUGGUUAGAGGUUUAUUGGAGGCCAGUGUCACUCUGCUGAUUAAAAUUUGUUUCUGAGUUCUCCGUAGGUUGCUUUGAAUAGCUUUGGAGUUCAGAUAGCUCUUCCUUCCAAUUGCCUUUGGUCAUGUCCCAGCUGUGUCAGCUGCAGUCUCAGUCUCUCUAGGGUGAUCAUUAUCUGUUCCCUUCCCAGCCAGGCCCCAGCCGAGACUUAAUGGACACCUCUGACCCUGCAAUGGAGACCCCCUGCCAUGGUUCCCAGAUGUUCCUAACUGUCCAUUUACCCCCAACUGCCGUUUCUUAAAAACUUAACAUAUACUUACCCAUAUGAUCCAGCAAUCACCUUACUAAACAUUUGCCCAAAGAAAUGAACACAUGUCCACACAAAAACCUGUACAUGAUGGUUCAUAGCAGUUUUAUUUGUAAUGGCCCCAAGUUGGAAACAACCCAAAUGUCAUUCAAUGGUUGAAUGAUUAGACAAAUUGUGGUACAUCUUGCCACUGGAUACUAUUCAACAACAAAAAGGAAUGAACUAUUGAUACAUGCAACAACUUGGAUAGAUCUCAAGGGCAUUGUGUUGAGUGAAGAAAAGGUAAUUUCAAAGGUACUGCAUGACUCCAUUCAUAAGACAUUCUCAAAAUGACAAAAUUACACAGAUGGAGAACAGAUGAGUGGUUUCCAGGGCUUGGGGAUGAAGGAUAUGGUAUGACUAUAAAAGGAGAGCGUGAGGGAUCUUUGUGAAUGGAACAGUUCCGUGUCUUGAUUAUGGCGUGAUUACAUGAAUCUUCACACGUGGUAAAAUUGCAUGGAACUAAACACACACGCGCGCACGCGCGCGCGCGCACACACACAUACGCAAUUGAGUUCUUUAAAACCGGCAAAAUCUGAAUGAGAUCUGUAGAUUGUAUUGUAACUGUAACAGGUCCAUGGCCCGAUGUGUGUGGCAAGUCAAUAUGCUGAGACACCAGGCUGCAGCUGAGAAAGAAAUUUAAUCUUGGGGACACCGAAUGAGGAGAUAGGAGAAAACCUCAAAUCCAUCUCCCCAAGGAGUCCAGGGCUAGGGUUUUUAAGGGUUUUGGAGUGAGCCAAAGUGGGGAUUGUUGACUGGUCACAGAAUACAGAGAAGUCAUGGGACGGGGAGAUAAAGAAAUUGUAUUUUUGGGAUGAGUCUGUUCCUCGGUGGGGGUCUUCAAACUGACUGACACCAGCUGUUUCACUGGAAUUUGGUAUCUGAAAAACAUCUUGAGCAAUUCUUAAACAAAAGCUGAGUGAAUCUAACAUCAGAAAUUCCAUCUAUAGGAACGACGGGGAUGCAAGUGGUCAGUAUCCCGUGUUGCACGACUUUUGGUUACAAUGAAGUGGAUCAAAGUGCAGCCUGAUUAAAGUUUAAUUAUAACUCUAUUUCUGUCCAGAAUUCUUGUUAACCCUG